GACGUAGGGCGCGAGCGUUGUCCGGAUUUAUUGGGCGUAAAGAGCUCGUAGGCGGCUUGUCGCGUCGUCCGUGAAAACCCAUGGCUCAACUGUGGGCUUGCGGUCGAUACGGGCAGGCUGGAGUUCGGUAGGGGAGACUGGAAUUCCUGGUGUAGCGGUGAAAUGCGUAGAUAUCAGGAGGAACACCUGUGGUGUAGACAGCUUACUGGACCACUUCUGACGCUGAGACACGAAGCCAGGGGAGCGAACGGG
rnacentral:rRNA from 1 species